UACGUAGGGCGCAAGCGUUGUCCGGAAUUAUUGGGCGUAAAGAGCUCGUAGGCGGUCUGUCGCGUCUGUUGUGAAAGCUCGAGGCUCAACCUCGGGCUUGCAGUGGAUACGGGCAGACUAGAGUGCGGUAGGGGAGACUGGAAUUCCUGGUGUAGCGGUGGAAUGCGCAGAUAUCAGGAGGAACACCGAUGGCGAAGGCAGGUCUCUGGGCCGCAACUGACGCUGAGGAGCGAAAGCAUGGGGAGCGAACAGG
rnacentral:rRNA from 1 species